ensembl:snRNA U6 U6 spliceosomal RNA
GUGCUUGCUUGGCAGCACAUAGACUAUAAUUGAAACAAUAGAAGAUUAGCAAGGAUGAUGCAUGCUUUUGUGAAGCAUUCCACAUUUUU